rnacentral:rRNA from 1 species
CCAGCAGCUGCGGUAAUUCCAGCUCCAAUAGCGUAUAUUAAAGUUGUUGCAGUUAAAAAGCUCGUAGUUGGAUUUCUGGUAGGGUGCCAAUGUCCGCCGCCGUGCGUGCGCAGCGGCGCCCUUCCAUCCUUGUGUCAACGCCUCUUGGCAUUCGUUUGCUGGUGGCGGGCUCACAUAUUUUACCUUGAGAAAAUUAGAGUGUUUCAGGCAGGCUAGGCCGGAAUACAUUAGCAUGGAAUAAUGGAAUAGGACUACGGUCUCUUUGUUGGUUGAGGGGCUGCAGUAAUGAUUAAAAGGGACUGCCGGGGGCAUUGGUAUGGCGGGGGUAGAGGUGAAAUUCGGUGAUCCUCGCCAGACCGACUACAGCGAAAGCAUUUGCCAAGAAUGUCUUCAUUAAUCAAGAACGAAAGU